GCUCAAGUGGCGGAAUUGGUAGACGCGUCGGAUUCAAAAUCCGAUUCUUAGGAGUGUGGGUUCGAGCCCCACCUUGAGUA
rnacentral:tRNA from 1 species